rnacentral:rRNA from 1 species
UACGUAGGGUGCGAACGUUGUCCGGAAUUAUUGGGCGUAAAGAGCUCGUAGGCGGUUUGUUGCGUCGGCCGUGAAAACUUGGGGCUUAACUCCGAGCUUGCGGUCGAUACGGGCAGACUUGAGUUCGGCAGGGGAGACUGGAAUUCCUGGUGCAGCAGUGAAAUGCGUAGAUAUCAGGAGGAAUACCGAUGGCGAAGGCAGGUCUCUGGGCUGACACUGACGCUCAUGCACGAAAGCGUGGGGAGCAAACAGG